GAUUUGCACGGUUGCAGCAACAAUGCACCCGGUAAAAUCAGUUUAAAGCAGGCAGGGUUUCUUUGGCUCACAGACCCAGGCCUUGUAUAUGAAGCGUCCUCCCCUUCCCCAGGGCUUAAGUCCUAAAACCAGUGCUCCGUGCUGAAGGAUUCCAUGAAUCCCGGUUGGAUUUGGAAGCUUUGAGUGACCCAGACACAUGUUCCUCUUCCUCCUGCUCACAGGUACGGCCAGGCUUCUGCCAGUGCUCAAGAGACUCAGAAAAGUCCAGCUUGGCAUCAAGCACCGAGAAAAGACGUUAAAACAAACCACGUGUCCCCUUCCUUCCUGGCCACAAUCUGCCUGAUGGCUGUCAAACCUUCCAGGAUACUCAACGGCUGGCGCUUGCCUGCUGGGUUGCUGUCUUCCUCCUUCGCUUAUGCUUCCUGCCAGGCUCCUAAGAAAUCUAGUGUCCAUGUCUGAGCUCAUUCCACCACGGGGCUCCUUUGACCAGCACCUGUUGAUGGCGUUUAUUUUGAACAGAUCUUGGUUUUUAAAGUCCCAGAUUCUGAGACUUCUUCACUCGCUGAUAGAUGCUCCUGACACCAUGCCUGCAGCUUGAGCCUGUGCCUCCCUGCUCUGAUGGACUCAUCCCUCUGGAAGUGCCGAAUUCGAGGACUAAAAGUCUGAGGGGUUGAACUGUGUCACCAGCCAGAUCCAGCCACAGAAUAG
rnacentral:lncRNA from 1 species